rnacentral:rRNA from 1 species
CGAACGGGUGAGUAACGCGUGAGGAACCUGCCUCAAAGAGGGGGACAACAGUUGGAAACGACUGCUAAUACCGCAUAAGCCCACGGCUCGGCAUCGAGCAGAGGGAAAAGGAGUGAUCCGCCUUGAGAUGGCCUCGCGUCCGAUUAGCUGGUUGGUGAGGUAACGGCCCACCAAGGCGACGAUCGGUAGCCGGACUGAGAGGUUGAACGGCCACAUUGGGACUGAGACACGGCCCAG